rnacentral:rRNA from 1 species
UACAGAGGUCCCGAGCGUUGUUCGGAUUUACUGGGCGUAAAGGGCGCGUAGGCGGCCACCGCAAGUCGACUGUGAAAUCUCCGGGCUUAACCCGGAAAGGUCAGCCGAUACUGCGGGGCUAGAGUGCAGAAGGGGCAACUGGAAUUCUCGGUGUAGCGGUGAAAUGCGUAGAUAUCGAGAGGAACACCUGCGGCGAAGGCGGGUUGCUGGGCUGACACUGACGUGGAGGCGCGAAAGCUAGGGGAGCGAACGGG